rnacentral:rRNA from 1 species
CUGACCUCGGAUCAGUAGG